CCAAUAGCGUAUAUUAAAGUUGUUGCAGUUAAAAAGCUCGUAGUUGAAUUUCGGGAUCAGUACGCUGGUCGUGCCCUUGGUAUGUACUGGUGUUACUGGUUCCUACCUUCUGACGAACCGUCAUGUCAUUAAUUUGGUGUGGCGGGAAAUCAGGACUGUUACUUUGAAAAAAUUAGAGUGUUUAAAGCAGGCUCGCGCUUGAAUACAUUAGCAUGGAAUAAUGAAAUAGGACGUUCGAUCCUAUUUUGUUGGUUUCUAGGAUUGACGUAAUGAUUAAUAGGGAUAGUUGGGGGCAUUAGUAUUCAAUUGUCAGAGGUGAAAUUCUUGGAUUUAUUGAAGACUAACUACUGCGAAAGCAUUUGCCAAGGAUGUUUUCAUUAAUCAAGAACGAAAGUUAGGGGAUCGAAGACGAUCAGAUACCGUCGUAGUCUUAACCAUAAACUAUGCCGACUAGGGAUCGGAUGAUGUUAUUUUUAAUGACUCAUUCGGCGCCUUACG
rnacentral:rRNA from 1 species